rnacentral:sRNA from 1 species
GCUGGGCACAAUGGCUCAUGCCUGUAAUCCCAGCAUUUUGGGAGGCUGAGGCAGGAGGAUCACUUGAGGCCAGGAGUUUGAGAUCAGUCUGAAUAACAUAGUGAGACCCCGUUUCCACAAAAGAAAAAAGUUGUUUUUUUUUUUAAUUAGCUGGGCAUGGUGGCACAUGCCUGUAGUCCCAAUACUCAGUAAGCUGAGGCAGGAGUAUCACUUGAGCCCAGGAGUUCAAGAAUAGCCUGGGCAACAUAGUGAGAUCUUGUCUCU